rnacentral:rRNA from 1 species
AUUGAACGCUGGCGGCAGGCCUAACACAUGCAAGUCGAACGAGUGGCGGACGGGUGAGUAAUGUCUGGGAAACUGCCUGAUGGAGGGGGAUAACUACUGGAAACGGUAGCUAAUACCGCACACCAUCAGAUGUGCCCAGAGGGGAUUAGCUUGGUGGUGGGGUAACGGCUCACCAAGGCGACGAUCCCGAGCUGGUCUGAGAGGAGGACCAGCCACACUGGAACUGAGACACGGUCCAGACUCCUACGGGAGGCAGCAGGGGGGAAUAUUUGCCAAUGGGGGAAAGCCUGAUGCAGCCAUGCCGCGUGUUUGAAGAAGGGCUUCGGGUUGUAAAGUACUUUCAGGGGGGAGGCGUUACCCGCAGAAGAAGCACCGGCUAACUCCGUGCCAGCAGCCGCGGUAAUAC